UACUACUUAUCAUCAGUUGACUACCUUGUGCGUGCUUGUUUCGCGCUUGAUCGCACAAAGGGGGAGGCAGUGCCCUCUGGGCAGCAUUGAACAACAAUAAUUUGCAGCUGUGAGUGUUGAGUUGCUAAGGCCCCUCCUGUUCACUGAUUAAGAGGUGAUGACUACUCCACUCUAGUGCCAUUGUCAACUUUCUCCUGACAUGAACUGAAGCCACGUCUCAUGGGCCCGUUCAUCCACAGGCACAUUGAGUGUUUCCCCUCCAAGCACUUCUUUUCAGUCAAAUCCUGUCCUGCACUGAAGUCAAGUCUCUGAACACCUCAACUCAUGCUUCAUCCCCUCAUUCAGUCACAGCUGUGAUCCCUUCCCAACACUGUAAGUAG